rnacentral:rRNA from 1 species
ACGGGUGAGUAACGCGUGGGAACGUGCCCUUCGGUUCGGAAUAACUCAGGGAAACUUGAGCUAAUACCGGAUACGCCCUUUUGGGGAAAGGCUUGACUGCCGAAGGAUCGGCCCGCGUCUGAUUAGCUAGUUGGUGAGGUUACGGCUCACCAAGGCGACGAUCAGUAGCUGGUCUGAGAGGAUGAUCAGCCACACUGGGACUGAGACACGGCCCAGACUCCUACGGGAGGCAGCAGUGGGGAAUAUUGGACAAUGGGGGCAACCCUGAUCCAGCCAUGCCGCGUGAGUGAUGACGGCCUUAGGGUUGUAAAGCUCUUUUCUCCGGGACGAUAAUGACGGUACCGGAGGAAUAAGCCCCGGCUAACUUCGUGCCAGCAGCCGCGGUAAUACGAAGGGGGCUAGCGUUGCUCGGAAUCACUGGGCGUAAAGGGCGCGUAGGCGGCUGAUUUAGUCGAGGGUGAAAGCCCGUGGCUCAACCACGGAAUGGCCUUCGAUACUGGUUGGCUUGAGACCGGAAGAGGACAGCGGAACUGCGAGUGUAGAGGUGAAAUUCGUAGA